ensembl:lncRNA
UGCGGGAUCAGCCGGGCCUCUGCUAGACUCGGAAGAGAACACCGUCAAGGCGUCUGCCACCCACGUGCCAGAUACUGCAGACUUGGACUCGUUUUCAGUAGGGGAUCUUGUCUUGGAGGGCUUCCCAGCUGUGAGGCCGUCCAAACUCAGGGGAAGGGGCAUGCUGUCUGCGCCACCCCAAAGUACUGGAGUGACCAGCUGACCAGGGUGUGUGGACUUUAUUGAUGACCCAGGUCAUACACCUCAGUAUCCAGGGAAUCCUUGGGGGGAAAUUCGGAGGGGGGAACCCACCUUGGCUUGGGGGCAUAUGUGUCUCUAUGGUAACUGAGAAAAGUUUGCCCCGGGGGUGAACCAAAAAUGUGACAGCUCUUCUGAGCAGCAUCUCUGUAGUCUCAGCAGCCUCUGGCCACAAUGCCAGUUUCAGGAUGUUGAGGCUGCCACCAGGUGUGCUCCACUGGGGUACUUGGAUGGACAGCAUGCGCUCAACCAGUGGCUUAAACCAGCACUUCAACCGCCAGAGUCCAGUUCCGUACUCGUAGGACGCCCAGGAUUGAAGGUCAAGUCUGGGGAAGAAUCACUGGUGUUCUGUAUCAAAUCCCAUCUUGAAGGCCUUCCGGUCCAGACCUCAGCUUCCGGGGAAGACGUUUACUGUCGGCUCCUGCCCAGUGGACAGAAAUAAGUGGUUGACCACAAAGCCUGUGCCUUGAGUACUUCCCAAAGGAAUGCCCAUGUAGAGAAAGACCAUGGUCCCCAAGAUAGCUCCAUGCCUGGAACACACAGGGGGCAGUGCUGCUGUCGAGGAGGAAGCUGUGUGUCUGGAGGUGGCUCUUUUCUGCGGUCCUCAAGGAGAGGUUUCCUUCAGUAUACUCCAUCUUUUAUGACAAAUUAUUCACACCAAAGGGCUUCGCCAGUGGCUCAGCUGAUAAUGAACCCGCCUUCCAAUGCAGGAGAUAGAAGAGAUAUAGGUUCAAUCCCCGAGUCAAGAAGAUCCCCUGGAGAUGGAAGUGGCAACCUGCUCCAGUAGUUUUACCUGGAGAAUUCCAUGGACAGAGGAGCCUGGCAGGCUGCAGCCCAUGGGGUCGCAAAGACUUGGACAUGACUGAGCAUGCACGCGUCAGGGGGCAUCCACACCAACCUCUCUUCAGUAUCAAAUACCAGCUUGAAAGAUUUCCUGAACGAGACAAAAGUUGUCAGCUCAAGUCCAGGGACUCCAUGGAGGUGACGCCAACCUUUGGGGAAGAAAGUGGUUCUUGGUCAGCUCUAAAGCCGGGACACAGAGAACCACAGCUUACCUGGAAGAUUACCUGGACCCAUAGCCGAUUCCUUGCAGGGCCUGGGUGUCUGUUCACUGCAGACCACAUCUCCGGCCCCUUGACCACAAAAUGUGGGAUUUAUCUGUGAAUUUGCUCCUGAUAACGUUGACCUUGGGAUGCAAACCAUUGCUGGGACACUUCCUGAGGCCUGAUAUAUCAAUAUUUCCAGAAGGAGGUUACAGUGUCCCCAUCAAGGAAAGCUCCAAUUCCUGGAAAGCAGUUGUAACUAAAUGUUCUCUGUACUGGUGGAAAAUAUUUCACAAGUGACCUCUAUGCAGUGUUAAGUCUUAAAGGGUUUCUUGGCUGACCUCUGGAAGCAACCCCAAGACACUCAAUUCAGACUCUUCGCUUGUAUACGACACAUGUCAACUGGUCCAUCCGGGGCCACACAGACUCUGGAAAACUUCUCCAGCAUCAGCGGAAGGCUGCACGAUGUUUUGCUUUUUUUUUUGGUGUGUGUUUUUGACCAGGGCUAAUCUUCGAUACUUGAAGGAGAGGUUAUCCGUGUUGUCUUCUCUUUAUUUAUGAUGAAACAUACACGGGAAACCUCUUUUUUAGUAUCAAAUCCCACCCUGGAGGCACGUCCUGUUCCCGAUGCAGCCUUCAGGGAAGGGACGUGGCCAGCUGCACUCUGAGUAGCCGGGGGAAGGCGGACUGUCGGGUGUCGCAGGGACAGCUGCUUGGAAGGGAAGCCACGUUUGGAGAAGGGCCCAGCUUGCUGUGUUGGAGGGAGGCUGCCCCUUGCGGGGUGACUCACGGUGGGUGGUGGCGCCUCCGGGUGGGAUCCAGCCAGGAUGGCUCUCUGGACACACCAGCCGCUCUCCAGGGUAGCUGAGGGGAUGGUAGGCCGGUGACGUGCACUUCAUUUACGAUGUAGGUCACCCGUUUGACUAUCCACCAGCACCCAGUCCAUCUGUGGGAUGACAUCUUGGCGACUUUGGAAAAGAUACAGGAGGAUGGGGGACCGGUGUGAGUCUGCUGUAUGGGAAGAGGGGUUGCCCUCAGGGGCUCCCUCUCCCGCCUUUUAAAAAAUAAGUAGAAGCGAUCGUCAGUCAAUCGUCUCUUCCCAGUCAAACCUCUCCCAGGCGGAUGGCUAAGCUGCACUGCAAGCGUUAGGGAGGAGGCCCAGCCCACAGCACAGGUUGAAGACAGGACCUGUGUGUUACCUGCUUCAGGGUCCUGUCUGUCCAGAGUGUGUGCCUGUGUGUGUGUGUGUGUGUGUGUCUAUGGCCGAUAGUGCUAAUGUUGGGAGCACCUUCUUUCGUGACGUCAGCUCUCUUUUGCGGGGUCUGAAAAGAGGCUGUUUGAUGAGAUUGUCAUGUAUGAGAUGAAUAUCACAUGGUCCAUCUCUUUUCAGUAGUAAAACCACCUGGAGGAUUUCCCGGAUGUGAUGCCUGACUCCAGGCAGCACCACUGGUAUCUGUGCCGCUGCCAGUGAGCAAGUAGCUGAGGCACCGGCCUCGGUGUGUGCUCACAGGCAGGUUUCAAUGUGCGCCUCCUGGAUCGUUACCACCUGUAGAACCCAACCUCUCCCUGAGUGCAUUUCAAACCCACGUUCAUCGCCUGGGGAGGAGGCUUUGCUGUCGUCACUCAUCUCUGUGUCUGUUGUUCAGCAUUUUUUUGACCUAGGAGGACUCAUCCAGGAUGGACACUGGUCAUUGUCAGAUACUGCUUCAGAUGCAUUCUGGACAUGACACCUAUGGCAGAGAACACGCCUUGGAGUUCACCAUCUGUGAAGGGAACACCAUUGGCAUGGGCCCCUCUCCAAGAGACCUGAAGGACGGUUGGACCCCAGAACAUCUCCCCUGCCUCCUUCGCCCGCAGGCUCCUCGCUCCCUGGGAGGACUUCCUGCAAGUGAUGCUGACUUUGGAAAAGACAUCAUUUCUUCAUCCCUAUUGUCCAGUGGCCCUCUGUGAUGGAUUUUCUGUAUUUGUCACAAGUCAUCCUGAACAGACUGCCUUGUAGAACUAGACCAUCUCUCAAAGGAACCAGGAGUGUCUGUAAGAAGGGGAUGCUGGAAUCAGGAGCUUGCCAGGCACCCUAAGGGUGGUCCAUGGACAGCAGAUGCUGCUUCAGCAGUUUGUCCCACCUAAUUUGAGGUCCUUGGCUUCGCAUUUCUCAAGAGGAUGCCUUGCAGAACCACUGACUCACGGAGGAGAUUUUAUUUCAGGGUCCCAGACCA